UACGGAGGAUCCAAGCGUUAUCCGGAAUCAUUGGGUUUAAAGGGUGCGUAGGUGGCUUUAUAAGUCAGUGGUGAAAUAUUUUAGCUUAACUAAGAUACUGCCAUUGAUACUGUAUGGCUAGAGUUUGCGCGAGGUAUGCGGAAUGCGUAAUGUAGCGGUGAAAUGCAUAGAUAUUACUCAGAACUCCGAUUGCGAAGGCAGCAUACUAGAGCAACACUGACACUGAUGCACGAAAGCGUGGGUAGCGAACAGG
rnacentral:rRNA from 1 species